AAAGAGCAAGAUGGGUCACCAGCAGCUCUACUGGAGCCACCCGAGGAAGUUUGGCCAGGGCUCUCGUUCUUGCCGCAUCUGUUCAAACUGGCACGGUCUGAUCCGGAAAUAUGGCCUCAACAUAUGCCACCAGUGUUUCCUUGGAUUAAGUGAACUUCCUUGAAUGGGUCAUCCAAGAUACCUACCUUAACUGCAGAUGUCCAAGAACCUACUUUGAUGCCGACUCAUUAGUCUUAAAAUUGAAGCCAGGAAUCGAGAUUCAUGAAAUCUUUUCAGGAGGUAAGACUUCUAAUCAAAAUGAAAGGUCUUAUGAAAUGAAUGGAAACAUAGAUCCAAGUCUGGAAUCAUUAAACUUGGCACUCAGGAGAAACUACAGAAUGAUUGUAGGGCAAUCCCUUCAUUUAUAUAAAAGAGGAAACCAGACUGAGAAAAAGAAAGUAUGGCAGACAGAGAGAUGGAUCACAUGGGCAGUCUCCUAGCCUCCGCUUUGAGACUAAGCAAUACAACCCACCCA
rnacentral:lncRNA from 12 species